rnacentral:lncRNA from 1 species
AACCGACAAGUACACGCCCCUUCGCACUCCACUAGCUAGUAAGCUGAGCUACAAGGUGUGCCAGGCACCCAGGACGCCGAUUCACCGCUUCAGUGAAGGCCCAGCUCAAAUGCCACCUCUUCCAUGAAGACUUCCGUGAUCCACAAUGAUAGCAUCUCCAGCAAUUGCUUCUAUAAUGAAUAGCAUGAGUCAUUCUGCAGGAUGUUGAUCUUCCUUUUUUUACUCCUAGACUGAAUUUUUCCACCACCUGGAUGAACAUAGCAGAAAGAACAUAGUGUUUUAGAGUCAGACACAAUAGGAAUCAGGCACUUUGGAAUCUUGGCUCUACCACCUUUGAGCUAUGUAUCCCAAGUCAAACACCCAUCAGACCUUUGCCAGGUGUCCAGCCUGGGCACUACGUUUCAGAAAAUGAUGCACAUAGAAUCCCUAACUGAAAGGAGAUCGCAGCUCAUUUGGUACAAAGUGGCUGAUUCUUUGACUGGUGAGCCACUCCCCAGGCAGGCAUAGCAUCACAGAGUUUCUGAGAAGGUACACCCUGGAUGCAAAGCAGUGUUGCUGAAAGACUCC